rnacentral:rRNA from 1 species
UGAAUACGAGACGCUACGGCGUCGAAGCAGUCUAUGUCAUACUUCCAAGAAAAGCUUGCACUGUCACAAACAAAUAAUGCCUGUACCAUAACCGACACAGGUGGGUAGGUAGAGUAUACUAAGGGGCGCGAGAUAACUCUCUCUAAGGAACUCGGCAAAAUGACUCCGUAACUUCGGGAGAAGGAGUGCCUUAUUUAUAAGGUUGCAAUAACAAGAUCCAAGCAACUGUUUACCAAAAACACAGGUCUCCGCUAAGUCGUAAGACGAUGUAUGGGGCUGACGCCUGCCCAGUGCCAGAAGGUUAAAGAAGUUGGUUAGCCUAGCGAAGCUGAUGACUGAAGCCCUGGUGAACGGCGGCCGUAACCAUAACGGUCCUAAGGUAGCGAAAUUCCUUGUCGGGUAAGUUCCGACCCGCACGAAAGGCGUAAUGAUUUGGAUACUGUCUCGGAGAGGGGCUCGGUGAAAUAGACUUGUCUGUGAAGAUGCGGACUACCUGCACCUGGACAGAAAGACCCUAUGAAGCUUUACUGUAACUUGAGAUUGAAAUUGGACUUUAUUUGCGCAGUAUAGGUGGGAGACGUUGAGAAUACUCUUGCGGGAGUAUUGGAGUCAUCAGUGAGAUACCACUCUUGUAAUGUUAGAUUUCUAACUUUGUAUCAUUAUCUGGUCAAAGGACAGUUUCAGGCGGGCAGUUUGACUGGGGCGGUCGCCUCCCAAAUGGUAACGGAGGCGCACAAAGGUUUCCUCUGAACGUGUAGAAAUCGUAUCUAGAGUGUAAAGGCAUAAGGAAGCUUGACUGUGAGACCUACAAGUCGAGCAGGGACGAAAGUCGGUCUUAGUGAUCUGACGGUGCUGAGUGGAAAGGCCGUCACUCAACGGAUAAAAGUUACUCUAGGAUAACAGGCUGAUCUCCCCCAAGAGUUCACAUCGACGGGGAGGUUUGGCACCUCGAUGUCGGCUCAUCGCAUCCUGGGGCGGUAGUACGUCCCAAGGGUUGGGCUGUUCGCCCAUGAAAGCGGUACGCGAGCUGGGUUCAGAACGUCGUGAGACAGUUCGGUCCAUAUCCGGUGUAGGCGUUAGAAUAUUGAGAGGAGCCUUCUUUAGUACGAGAGGACCGAGAAGGACAUACCUCUGGUGUACCAGUUAUCGUGCCAACGGUAAACGCUGGGUAGCUAUGUAUGGAGUGGAUAACCGCUGAAAGCAUCUAAGUGGGAAGCCCACCUCAAGGUAAG